CAUAAUGACAUCUAUUAGCUUCUGCAACAAUACAGCAGACCUAAUUACCUGUUGAUGGUGCAAAUUGUUUGCUACCCCAGUGGAUAGAUGCAACAUGUAGAAAAUAAACAAAAGGUACAUUUUCUUCAUACAAAAAGCACCAAUUGAAACAAAAAGGAAAUCCAGUCAUUUAGUAAAUCUAUGAGUAAAAGCAAUAAUUGUACCACAAGAUUUUAAGACUAUGAAAUGCAGAUCAUUGGGGGAGGGGGGACAGUGAAAUUAGGAUUAUUUAAGUUAUCUUUCCAGUGAGUUAAUAUAUAAAAUUUAAUUUCAAAUAGUUUUUGAAAAUGCGAUUAUUUGGUUCAUGGGUAAUGAGGAUUGCACAUGUGAUUCAGACAAAUUCGAAAUCAUGAUCCAAUCCAUGACUGAGGUCAAUGAAGAUUCAUGCAAGGAGAGCCAAUCUGAGCAAGAUCAUCUGUGAGUGCUUCGAGUUGCUGGAGAGAGACAGGUGCUGUCUACAAAAUCUACUGUUUUGUUUCCAUAACCACCAAGUUGGGGAGAGAAGGAAAGGAGAGCAGAGCAUUGUGUCAAGAGACUGACCUGUCUCCCUUCUAAUCACAGGAUGACUUCAUCAGGGCCCUUCCAAGUAGAAAUUCUCUGCCUAAAGCAACCUGGAGACCACUGAGUGCUCAUUGUAAGAUUUUAAGGACAUCUCCAAAUCAAAAUAUUUGCCAAAGGAGAACAUUCAUUUUUUUAAUGAAGUAUCACCUAACCAAAAUAUUUGGUUAAACAAGUACUUUAAACUUGUAUUUUAAACAAGAAUCCCGAUAAGACAAAGUUGAAUGAUAGAUGCUGAGAAUGGAUUAACGUUUUAGUAUCCUAAAUUUGUAAAGACUCUCUUCACACAAAACUCCUGAAAGAAAAGAGUACACCUGCAAAUGUCAUUAAAUUCUUCCUGCAGGCAUCAAAGUUAUUGACACUUUAAAAAAAAUUAAAAGAGCUUCACUGGAUCUCUUUUUGAAAUUGAAUAGGCUUCACCCUAAGAGGGUCCUACUGUGCCUGUAAAGUUCAUCAGUUCUGGCAAAAAGUAACAGAAUAUUGACCUUUGUUUUUGCUGCUCAGUGGGAAGUACAACUCUAGCUUUAGAUUAAUCCUGCAUCAAAUUGGGCAGCCUCUUUUCAUUCUGAGUAAGAGUGAGCUAUUGUCUGAAGUACUGAAUGGGGCCCCCAAAUCAACAUUUGUGGUGUAUGCACACUUUUAGGAGACAUGUUUCUACAUACUGAAAACAUGUACAAGAUGUAUUACAAGUUAAUGGUUUAAAUGUAUCCAAGCCAGAUUUUUAUAGCAGAGUUAAAUUCAGUAUAUGGUUCAUCUAUCUGAUGGGCUUUGUGUGGUCAUUCAUGGGGAAGGGGAGAAAGAAGAGGUGCAAAUGACAAGACAGGUGCAACAUCAUCACACAAGUAUUGCCAUUUAUAUAUUUGAAUCAGAGAUUGGGGUUCAAGUGUGUCAGCAUGGCAUUUGGUUGAUGAUGCCACUAUGGAUGUCCUUCUGGCUUCAUCACAGUUUGCUGCAGGUGAUGCUGGAGUUUGUAUAUCAUUAACAAGAAGGCUGUGUUGGUCUCUCAGUGAGAAAAUGAAAAGAGACACAGUGAUUGGAAGUGAUCAACUUGCAAUCUUAGGUCAGGGGUGGAGACCUUGAGGCCCACAGCCUCAUGAGGCCCCUGAAAGCUUUGGAGGCAGCUCCCAGCAUCCUUACAAAAGGGCCACCAACAUGUAACUUUUAAUCUAACAAAAGGGAUACUCUUAAAUAUAUUGGGAAUAAUCAUAUUAGUUGCAUUGAAUUUUAAUUAUAUAUACAUUAAAUUAACUUAAUUUUGGAUUUUUUGUCCUAGCCUUGCCCACUUCUUUGUUCUGGCCCUACAUUCAUUCUGGAGUAGUGGCUCUCCAGCAUGCUCUUCAAAAGCCAAAUGUGGACCUCAGGCUCAAAAAACUUGUGCACCCAUGGUUUCUAACACAGCUUCUCCAAGAAUGAGAAUGUGAAACUCAACUUUGAUGUGCACAUGUCUCCUGAAUUCUUUGGUUCUUUGUCCUUCCAUAUGGUGGUCUCCUCCUCCAGAUGAUGUUGUGUUGUGGCACUUCAUUUUCCAGCUCAUGAAUUUUGUAGGGUACAUCCAGUGUGUUACCUUCUGGCUGCUCUAUGGUUACAUUAGAACUGGAUUUAUUUACCUUGGCAACAACUGGUGGACCUGUUGUUCUAUGUGGUGUAUGAUCCUCAACAGAUGUUGCAAGGGUGGGAGCGAUGUCCUCUUCAAUGUCAUUAACUGUUGAGUUUCCAUGUCCUGUUUCAUUAGUGAACAUACCACAAGACUUGCAACACAGUUUAUUAUAUCCAGGAAUGGUACAGUAUUGAUGGAGAACUUCCAUGCGACAAAACAUUGAUCUGUCUCCUUGGCAAUGUUCUGCUGGAAGAGAAAAACAAAUUUAAGUGUAUGCUAUAUAUCUAAAAUGGAAUCAAAUAAACUUGGCCUUAAGAGGCCCUUGCAUACAAUAA